CAACAUUUCAUUUCUCCCUGGCUGCUUUAAACAUUUUUCUGUUUUAUCUUGGACUCCAAGUAUACAAAUGUGAGCUCUUUUGUUAUUGACCCAUGAGACUCUGCUGCCCUAUAAUUGUUUUCUCUGUUUUUCAGAUGGAACAAAUUCCACUGAGCUAUCCUCAAGGUCACGGAUUCCAUCCUCUGUCACCUCCACUUCAUUGAGAUGACAUAUUGAGCCCAUGCAUAGCCUUUUAUUUGAGAUUUCCAAGGCCAGCAAUGUUCUCUUCCUCUCCCUUUUCUUUGUAUAAAAAUUCAUUCUCAAGAAAAACUCUCAUAUCAAUUGUUUACAUGUCACUAUGGCUAAGACACUAAAAGCCCUCUCCCUGCAAAACUGGUGGCAAAGCUCUCUAGAGAACCACAAACUGUUGCAUCCUUACUACGUGGGGCAGCAGCAAGCCCAGGUGAAGAUGUGCAUGUUCUUGGAGAAAGUAUUAAUAACAUACCGAC
rnacentral:lncRNA from 10 species